rnacentral:rRNA from 1 species
GUGCACCAGGCGAGAAACCUCCGCAAUACACGAAAGUGUGACGGGGCCAUCCCGAGUGCCGUCCGCUGAGGACGGCUUUUCCCCAGUGUACACAGCUGGGGGAAUAAGGAGAGGGCAAGCCUGGUGUCAGCCGCCGCGGUAAUACCAGCUCUCCGAGUGGUGGGGACGCUUAUUGGGCCUAAAGCAUCCGUAGCCGGCUGGGCAAGUCCUCCGUUAAAUCCAACGAUUCAAUCGUUGGGCUGCGGGGGAUACUGUCCAGCUUGGGGGCGGGAGAGGCCGACGGUAUUCCCGGGGUAGGGGUGAAAUCCUAUAAUCCCGGGAGGACCACCAGUGGCGAAGGCUGUCGGCUAGAACGCGCCCGACGGUGAGGGAUGAAAGCUGGGGGAGCGAACCGGAUUAGAUACCCCUGUAGU